GCGCAGGUCCGCUCUGUCGCCGCCGGCUCGGCCGGGGGAGGAAAGUCCGGGCAACGCAGAGCGCCACGCAAGCCAAUCACUUGAUAUCCGUGAGGGUAUAGGAGCGUAACAGAGAAGAACCGCCCCGCUGUCGGGUUCGCCCGCAGCGGUGGUAAGGGUGAAAAGGCGGGGUAAGAGCCCACCGCAGAGGCAGUGAUGUCGUCUGGCCGUACGUCUCGUGGGUUGCAAGACCAUGUAUACCGGCAAUUAAGGGUUGCUCGCCCGAUGCCGGGGGGUAGGUUGCUUGAGACGGCAGGAGACUGCCGCCCUAGAUAAAUGACAGAGACCCGGAGGCAACUCCGGGGACAGAACCCGGCUUACAGGACCUGCACACUU
rfam:Alistipes sp. An31A An31A_contig_5, whole genome shotgun sequence.